rnacentral:lncRNA from 1 species
AGAGAAAGCGCGGGCCUCCCAGGGCCCCUGCGAGGGAGAGAAGGCUCUCGGUGACUCCUCGGGGUGGCGGGGAAGUCCAGCCUCCGUAGGCACAAAACCUGGGCCCGGGCCCCGAGGCUUCGCUCCGCCUGCCCUCGGGGAGGUGGGAGGGGCCGCUCCGCGCUGGGGCCUCGCAGCCUUCCCGGGCUUCGCGGCUGGGAGAGAUUCCUCCAGGCCGCUCCACAGGCCCUGUCCCCGCGCAGGAGAAGCUGGUCCUACUCUUGGUCCCCUACCCCGUUCCUCGGGUUCCUUUGCGUGUUCAUCCCUCCCGGGCAAGGGCUUCAAGUCUCGGGGCCUUUCUCCGGCCCGAGCUCCUGAGCAGAGUUGAAGGCCCCCGGCUUCCCGAAGAAGCCCCACCCCAGGGCGUGCACCCAAGUGGAGACUCUGCCCCAGGGACUAGCUGAGGCUGCUCCCCGCAAGUUCCCCACUUCCCGGCGGGCAGAGAACAAGGAGCUCGGGGCUUGGAGUCCGCCGUGUGGCGUUCAGCAAGUCAUUUCACCUCCCUCGACUGCGGAUUCUCCCGUUGCUGCGAGAAUAAAAUAAAAGACUUGAAAUCAG